rnacentral:rRNA from 1 species
AUGUUAUCACGGGAGACACACGGCGGGUGCUAACGUCCGUCGUGAAGAGGGAAACAACCCAGACCGCCAGCUAAGGUCCCAAAGUCAUGGUUAAGUGGGAAACGAUGUGGGAAGGCCCAGACAGCCAGGAUGUUGGCUUAGAAGCAGCCAUCAUUUAAAGAAAGCGUAAUAGCUCACUGGUCGAGUCGGCCUGCGCGGAAGAUGUAACGGGGCUAAACCAUGCACCGAAGCUGCGGCAGCGACACUAUGUGUUGUUGGGUAGGGGAGCGUUCUGUAAGCCUGUGAAGGUGUACUGUGAGGUAUGCUGGAGGUAUCAGAAGUGCGAAUGCUGACAUAAGUAACGAUAAAGCGGGUGAAAAGCCCGCUCGCCGGAAGACCAAGGGUUCCUGUCCAACGUUAAUCGGGGCAGGGUGAGUCGACCCCUAAGGCGAGGCCGAAAGGCGUAGUCGAUGGGAAACAGGUUAAUAUUCCUGUACUUGGUGUUACUGCGAAGGGGGGACGGAGAAGGCUAUGUUGGCCGGGCGACGGUUGUCCCGGUUUAAGCGUGUAGGCUGGUUUUCCAGGCAAAUCCGGAAAAUCAAGGCUGAGGCGUGAUGACGAGGCACUACGGUGCUGAAGCAACAAAUGCCCUGCUUCCAGGAAAAGCCUCUAAGCAUCAGGUAACAUCAAAUCGUACCCCAAACCGACACAGGUGGUCAGGUAGAGAAUACCAAGGCGCUUGAGAGAACUCGGGUGAAGGAACUAGGCAAAAUGGUGCCGUAACUUCGGGAGAAGGCACGCUGAUAUGUAGGUGAAGCGACUUGCUCGUGGAGCUGAAAUCAGUCGAAGAUACCAGCUGGCUGCAACUGUUUAUUAAAAACACAGCACUGUGCAAACACGAAAGUGGACGUAUACGGUGUGACGCCUGCCCGGUGCCGGAAGGUUAAUUGAUGGGGUCAGCGCAAGCGAAGCUCUUGAUCGAAGCCCCGGUAAACGGCGGCCGUAACUAUAACGGUCCUAAGGUAGCGAAAUUCCUUGUCGGGUAAGUUCCGACCUGCACGAAUGGCGUAAUGAUGGCCAGGCUGUCUCCACCCGAGACUCAGUGAAAUUGAACUCGCUGUGAAGAUGCAGUGUACCCGCGGCAAGACGGAAAGACCCCGUGAACCUUUACUAUAGCUUGACACUGAACAUUGAGCCUUGAUGUGUAGGAUAGGUGGGAGGCUUUGAAGUGUGGACGCCAGUCUGCAUGGAGCCGACCUUGAAAUACCACCCUUUAAUGUUUGAUGUUCUAACGUGGACCCGUGAUCCGGGUUGCGGACAGUGUCUGGUGGGUAGUUUGACUGGGGCGGUCUCCUCCUAAAGAGUAACGGAGGAGCACGAAGGUUGGCUAAUCCUGGUCGGACAUCAGGAGGUUAGUGCAAUGGCAUAAGCCAGCUUGACUGCGAGCGUGACGGCGCGAGCAGGUGCGAAAGCAGGUCAUAGUGAUCCGGUGGUUCUGAAUGGAAGGGCCAUCGCUCAACGGAUAAAAGGUACUCCGGGGAUAACAGGCUGAUACCGCCCAAGAGUUCAUAUCGACGGCGGUGUUUGGCACCUCGAUGUCGGCUCAUCACAUCCUGGGGCUGAAGUAGGUCCCAAGGGUAUGGCUGUUCGCCAUUUAAAGUGGUACGCGAGCUGGGUUUAGAACGUCGUGAGACAGUUCGGUCCCUAUCUGCCGUGGGCGCUGGAGAACUGAGGGGGGCUGCUCCUAGUACGAGAGGACCGGAGUGGACGCAUCACUGGUGUUCGGGUUGUCAUGCCAAUGGCACUGCCCGGUAGCUAAAUGCGGAAGAGAUAAGUGCUGAAAGCAUCUAAGCACGAAACUUGCCCCGAGAUGAGUUCUCCCUGAGACUUUAAGUCUCCUGAAGGAACGUUGAAGACGACGACGUUGAUAGGCCGGGUGUGUAAGCGCAGCGAUGCGUUGAGCUAACCGGUACUAAUGAACCGUGAGGCUUAACCUU